rnacentral:rRNA from 1 species
GACGAACCGUGCGAACGUUAUUCGGAAUCACUGGGCUUAAAGCGCGUGUAGGCGGGUCGGUGCGUCGGCCGCUGAAAUCCCCCGGCUCAACCGGGGAAGGGGCGCCGAUACGACCGGCCUGGAGCGACGUAGGGGGGACUGGAACUCCCGGUGGAGCGGUGAAAUGCGUUGAGAUCGGAAGGAACGCCCGUGGCGAAAGCGAGUCCCUGGACGUCGGCUGACGCUGAGACGCGAAAGCCAGGGGAGCGAACGGG